GAUGAACGCUGGCGGCGUGCUUAACACAUGCAAGUCGAACGGAAAGGCCCUGCUCUUGUGGGGCGCUCGAGUGGCGAACGGGUGAGUAACACGCGAGUAACAUGUACUUGUAUUAGUGGUAACUUCAGGGAACAGGGGAUCAAACCCGGGAGGAGAUCCUGCUGCGUGGGGGGGGAUGGAGAGAUUCGGCGGUGGGGGAUGGUAUCGAGGCUUAUCAGCCUGUUGGGGGAGUAGUGGAUUACCAGGGCUUUGAAGGGUAGGCGGCCUGAGAGGGUGACCGGCCACAAGGGUACUACGAGACGGCCCAGACUCGUACGGGAGGCAGCAGGGGGGAACAUUGCACAAUGGGCGGAAGUCUGAUACAACGACGUCGCGUGCGGAAAGACGUCUUUCUGGUGAUAAACCGCUGUGGCCGGAGCCGAGGCGUGAGUGACGGUAAUUGGUAAAGAAGCACCGGCUAACUACGUG
rnacentral:rRNA from 1 species